rnacentral:tRNA from 1 species
AACUUUAAAGCUAUUUAGCAUUUCACUUACACUGAAAAGAUAAAAACAUCUUUAUAAAUUUU